GGGAAAAGCCCAGCGCAUAAGCUCGCUUUGCCCUUCACCGGGCGCGAGCGGUGUUGCGUUUCGGAGGGUCCGGCACGCCGCCUUACGACGCCUAAGUCAUGCUUGAAAGCGGCCACUACCCAUUGAGGGUGAAAGGCCCGUCUGGCGGAGCCCGUGAGGGCAUAAGUGAGGCGGUCGGAAAGGACCUUUCCGUAGAGUCGGGUUGCUUGAAAGUGCAGCCCAAAGCAGGUGGUAAACUCCAUCUAAGGCUAAAUAUGACCACGAGACCGAUAGCGAACAAGUACCGUGAGGGAAAGUUGAAAAGAACUUUGAAGAGAGAGUUCAAGAGCACGUGAAACCGUUAAGAGCCAAACGGGUGGAACUCGUAGAUCGAACUGAGGGGAUUCAGCUCGUCGGCAGGGGCUGGGGCGGCUGGUGGAUUAUUCCUUAAAGUGACUCACCCGAGGGUGGGCACGCCAUCGUCUCAUUGCCUCUGUCGGCGGGCGUAUUUCGCCUCGUAGUAGGUCACCGCGACCCGUUGCUUGGGGACGUCUAAGGCCCGGGUGGAUUGGUACCUCGCCGUUCCGGCCGCCUCUACUUCGGUGGGGACGGAUUCGGGCGGCGGGGGAAACCCCCGGUGACAUAUCCUGACGGCCCUGCGACGGUGUCUAUCAAUGGCAGGAGGUGUGUCCUUUCUAGGGCACACUACCUCGCGGUGUUAAACCAUAACGGCGGACCACCCGACCCGUCUUGAAACACGGACCAAGGAGUCUAACAUGUGUGCGAGUCAUUGGGCGCACUAAACCCAAAGGCGAAAUGAAAGUGACAGAAAGGGGAGGGGCCCCUCCUUGCCGCAAGGUAAGGAACCCUUCCCCUGGGGCUGAUCCCUGGCCGACAGUCGACCGUGGGGUGCCAGAGGGGGGUGGGAGCUCGGUGAGGCAUUUUCCCGGUUCUUUGUCACCCUUUGGCUUACUCCUGCGUGUCGGCAGUGGCCCACGCCCGCAAUGGGGGGGCGCAAGCCCGGGACUUGCCACCAGUGCACCUCUCGGCGUCCGCGACUGGCCUCUCGGGGCCUUUCCGCGUGGGCUGAGUUGGUAGCCGGCAAGUACCUUGAGCAGACAUGUUGGGACCCGAAAGAUGGUGAACUAUGCUUGGCCAGGACGAAGCCAGAGGAAACUCUGGUGGAGGUCCGCCGCGAUUCUGACGUGCAAAUCGAUCGUCGGAGCUGAGUAUAGGGGCAAAAGACUAAUCGAACCAUCUAGUAGCUGGGGUUCCUUUCCGAAGUUUCCCUCAGGAUAGCUGGUACUCGAGAGUAAUUUCAUCCGGUAAAGCGAAUGAUUAGAGGUCUUGGGGACGAAACGUCCUCAACCUAUUCUCAAACUUUAAAUGGGUGAGAUGCCGAGCUUGCUUGCAAUUGAUCGUUGAAGCUCUGGCGACUAAUAUGAGUACCUAGUGGGCCACUUUUGGUAMCCAGAACUGGCGCUGUGGGAUGAACCAAACGUCGAGUUAAGGGGCCUAAAUGAAUGCUCAUACAGAUCCCACGAAAGGUGUUGGUUGCUAUAGACAGCAGGACGGUGGCCAUGGAAGUUGGAAUCCGCUAAGGAGUGUGUAACAACUCACCUGCCGAAGCAACUAGCCCUUAAAAUGGUAUGGCGCUAAAGCAUUCUCCCGAUACUCGACCGCCGGUGGCACAACAGGCCUAGCCAUGCAGGUCUUGAAGCCCCGGUGAGUAGGAGGGCCGCGGUGGUGAGCGCUGAAGGGUGCGGCGUGAGCCGGCCUGGAGCCGCCACUGGCGCAGAUCUUGGUGGUAGUAGCAAAUAGUCGAGAGAGACUCUACCUGGAAGACCGAUGUGGGGCAGGGUUCCAUGUGAACAUCACUUGGACAUGGGUUAGUCGCUCCUAAGCCCAAGGCUAAUGCCUUAUCCCAUGUGAGAGGCAAGAUGAUCCUACUUAUAAGACGAGUGUCUGCUGGCGCAGAGACACACCGACAAGUCGAUGCCAACAAAAAGACACAGGUGAGGCUGUGUGGCAUCGGCUGAGGGGUGCUCUGCCAGGCUAGUCUGAGGCUACAACCUCCGCCUCGGACAUUUAAUGCCUGGGUGGGUCUGGUCUGCUGUACUACUGUGCAAGGCAACAAUCUCUAGUAUUAGAGCAACGUUGCCUUCUCGGUUUAUGAGGAUUCCUGCACCCUUGUUAGCGGUACCCCUUGGGGAGUAUGUGGUGUAAGAUGGCCUAACAAAGGGCACCACAGACAGAGGUGUGGGGUUUCCCCACACCUUGCUCACCUGACUUAACGCUUUCUCUCAGCCUUGGUAAGGCGCCCGGACCCCUCGUGGCCGGUGUCGCGGAGGCUGAAGAUUGUGGCGCGAGUAUGUGUGAUGGGACACGAAAGCGUUUGGUACUUUUGGAUCAUGGCGUAAGCCUCCCUCCCCAUGCCUGAGGUGUCUGAUUAGGCGGGKUGCCUCCCUUUKCCGGGGGUCCGUUUUUGACUUCACUUGC
rnacentral:rRNA from 1 species